ACUUAAAUUUUGUGUUGCCGACAUCACACAUGCGACAGCCUAUGAUAAUGACUUUUUCGCUGGUUGCUGAAUUUUUACAGAUUGUUCUACUUAUCUAUCAGGGUGCCUUCCAAAUGGCUCACUUUUUGGGGAAAGAGGUUAAUGAAGUAUGAAUAGAUAAAUGGAUAUCACAAAUUGUGUGAAGUACCCUGUGAAUGCUAAUCUCAUAAAGAACUUGGUUUUUCUUAUGAGAUUACUUAGUACUUAGUACAAGUUAGUAUGCAUAACGCUGAAUUAUGGUCAUGCGUCAUAUAUCGGCCGCACUAUGAAACAGCAAGGCAUUGCACAAUUCGUUGCAGUGCGAGAUGUGGAUGUCGCACCAAGCCGGUUGUGCCUAUGCAUUUAUGGCGAAAUGAAAAUGCAUUGAGAACCUUAGUGUGCUGGCUUGCAUGAAGAAAAUACUUAAGCGUGUUUGCUGUGUUCACUGUUUGUGCACCUGCCAGUGGUUCAGUGUAUUUUCUUCUUUUUUUUUUGGGGGGGGGGGCAGCUUUAUUAUGUAUGGACAAAUCAUAUAUUUUCGUCUCAUAAUGGGGCUCUAAUUCUUCAGCAGUAGAACAAUGCAGAUCCAAUGCUCUGCAGAACUCGGUGUGCGUGAAGAUGUCGUGAACCACCAAGGCAAAAUUACAUAUCGGGAGAAAUGUGGUGCAGAUGCCAAUGAAAAGUGGGUCUUUAACCCGCCAUGAUAAAAAUAAAGAUUGCAGAGGGAAUAGACCUUUUGUACAGCUUUAGAGCAAUGAUUACACAAACUGUGACAUGCGCAAACGUGUAAAAGCUUGCCGCAAUGCCAAAGUAGGAUGAGCGAUAUGUAGCGUAUUUUGGCAUUGAACGUGUCUUGUAACUGCUAUUGUUAUUGUAAGCCUCGCUGUCACGGCUUUCCCUCCGCCACUUCCUUUACUGAAACGCAGCACUGUCUUUCUGUUGUUGUCAUGAUGAUGAUGGUAAUGGCAGCAGUAAGGCUGGUUAAUGCUUGCCGCUGCGAUUCCUGCGAGUUUAGUGGUACAGAAUAUGGCACGUGCAUACACCUGUGCAGCAAAAUUUUACGCUUGUGGUGAUUUGUUGGAGAGCUAAUUCGUGUUGGGACAUUUCAAAGAUGUGCACCAUUGUGGCUUAAUAACUAGAGCAUUGAUGAGGUUGAAGACUGGUUUUAUUGGUAUAGAAGCCUGAAGUUGAAUUGCAUAACAAUUUGAUGGGACACAAAGAAGGGAAAUACACACAGCAGAACGCUGUGCUGUGUGUGUUACUCUUCUUUGUGUGCCGUCGAAUUGUUGCGCGAUCCAACUUCAAAUAGAGCAUUGGGCCUCUUUGGUGCAGGACCGAGGAAGUGUGAGCUAUUCGACACCAUGCCAGUGCCUUGCCACACAAUUAUGGAAGUCUGAAGAGCAGCCCUCUGGACCUUGCCACACUCUCAAGAGCACGUGCCUGGCGCUCGCCUACUGCCACCAGGUGGUUGAGUGCCUCCAGCAGCAGAAUGUUUUGCUGCAAAAAAAGUGGAUUGUUGGAAUGAAUGAACCGCAUAUAAACCAUUAUUUACAAAUAAAAAUGCUCAUUGCACUAUUGGUACUAAAUGCCCUUAACUGUGGAAGCCUUUAGUGUAUGCAUAAUAAAACAAUUUGUC